rnacentral:rRNA from 1 species
GACAGAGGGGGCAAGCGUUGCUCGGAAUCACUGGGCGUAAAGGGCGCGUAGGCGGCUGAUUUAGUCGAGGGUGAAAGCCCGUGGCUCAACCACGGAAUGGCCUUCGAUACUGGUUGGCUUGAGACCGGAAGAGGACAGCGGAACUGCGAGUGUAGAGGUGAAAUUCGUAGAUAUUCGCAAGAACACCAGUGGCGAAGGCGGCUGUCUGGUCCGGUUCUGACGCUGAGGCGCGAAAGCGUGGGGAGCAAACAGG